rnacentral:rRNA from 1 species
AUGAUGACAAGAAGUUCCACAUACACUGUUCCAUCGACAUCGAAAAAUUUGCAGCUCCAAUUCAUGACUAGGCUUUCUCUUCCAAUUUUCACUGGCUCCAAGGUUGAAGGCGAGGGUACCUUAAGUAUUGCUCUAGUUGACACUUUGACCAGAGAGGUUGUAGUAAUGGGUAAGGAGUCCCUGUUGAAGGUUGAAAUUGUAGUUCUAGAGGGUGACUUUGAACACGGAGAAGGCAAUGACUGGACAGCUCAGGAGUUCAAUAUUAACAUCAUUAGAGAAAGACAAGGUAAACGGCCCUUGCUUUCUGGAGAUGUGUUUGUUGGUCUUGAUAGAGGCAUUGGUAGAGUGGGAGAUGUAUCAUUCACAGAUAACUCCAGCUGGACACGCAGCCGAAAGUUCAGGUUGGGUGCAAGAACUGAGGAUGGUUGUUAUAAUGGCGUAAGAGUACGGGAAGCAAAAACUGAAUCAUUUGUGGUAAAGGAUCAUCGUGGAGAAUUGUACAAGAAGCAUCACCCACCAGUUCUUGAAGAUGAGGUUUGGAGACUGGAGAAGAUCGGCAAGGAAGGAACUUUUCACAAGCGUUUGAAUAAGGAGAAGAUAGUUACAGUCAAAGAUUUUCUCACUUUAUUGCAUCUUGAUGCUCCUAGGCUCCGGAAGAUAUUGGGCACUGGCAUGUCAACUAAGAUGUAG